rnacentral:rRNA from 1 species
GCGCGAAAAACUUUACAAUGCGGGAAACCGUGAUAAGGGGACACCGAGUGCCAGCAUCAUAUGCUGGCUGUCCAGAUGUGUAAAAUACAUCUGUUAGCAAGGGCCGGGCAAGACCGGUGCCAGCCGCCGCGGUAACACCGGCGGCCCGAGUGGUGAUCGUGAUUAUUGGGUCUAAAGGGUCCGUAGCCGGUUUGGUCAGUCCUCCGGGAAAUCUGAUAGCUCAACUAUUAGGCUUUCGGGGGAUACUGCCAGACUUGGAACCGGGAGAGGUAAGAGGUACUACAGGGGUAGGAGUGAAAUCUUGUAAUCCCUGUGGGACCACCUGUGGCGAAGGCGUCUUACCAGAACGGGUUCGACGGUGAGGGACGAAAGCUGGGGGCACGAACCGGAUUAGAUACCCGGGUAGUCCCAGCCGUAAACGAUGCUCGCUAGGUGUCAGACAUGGCGCGACCGUGUCUGGUGCCGCAGGGAAGCCGUGAAGCGAGCCACCUGGGAAGUACGGCCGCAAGGCUGAAACUUAAAGGAAUUGGCGGGGAGCACAACAACGGGUGGAGCCUGCGGUUU